rnacentral:misc_RNA from 1 species
GAUGAAGAACGUAGCGAAAUGCGAUAAGUAAUGUGAAUUGCAGAAUUCAGUGAAUCAUCGAAUCUUUGAACGCACAUUGCGCCCGCCAGUAUUCUGGCGGGCAUGCCUGUUCGAGCGUCAUUUCCACCAUCAAGCCCCCGGCUUGUGUUGGGGACCUGCGGCUGCCGCAGGCCCUGAAAACCAGUGGCGGGCUCGCUAGUCACUCCGAGCGUAGUAAUACAUCUCGCUCAGGGCGUGCUGCGGGUUCCGGCCGUUAAAAAGCCUUAUUUACCCAAGGUUGACCUCGGAUCAGGUAGGAAGACCCGCUGAACUUAAGCAUAUCAAUAAGCGGAGGA